rnacentral:rRNA from 1 species
UACGGGGGGAGCAAGCGUUGUUCGGAUUUACUGGGCGUAAAGGGCGCGUAGGCGGCCACCGCAAGUCGAUUGUGAAAUCUCCGGGCUUAACUCGGAAAGGUCAACCGAUACUGCGGGGCUAGAGUGCAGAAGGGGCAACUGGAAUUCUCGGUGUAGCGGUGAAAUGCGUAGAUAUCGAGAGGAACACCUGCGGCGAAGGCGGGUUGCUGGGCUGACACUGACGCUGAGGCGCGAAAGCUAGGGGAGCGAACGGG